AUUGAACGCUGGCGGCAGGCUUAACACAUGCAAGUCGAGGGGAGCGGCCGACCGGUGCGUAAUGCCUAGGAAUGUGCCUGGCCGUGGGGGAUCACGUCCGGAAACGUGCGCUCAUACCACAUACUAGCAUACGAGCCUAGGUGGGAUUAGCUAGUUGUGGGGGUAAAGGCCUACCAAGGCGAACAUCCGUAACUGGUCUGAGAGGAUAAUAAGUCACACUGGAACGGAGACACGGUCCAGACUCCUACGGGAGGCAGCAGUGGGGAAUAUUGGACAAUGGGCGAAAGCCUGAUCCAGCCAUGCCGCGUGUGUGAAGAAGGUCUGCGGAUUGUAAAGCACUUUAAGUUGGGAGGCGUUACCAACAGAAUAAGCACCGGCUAACUACGUGCCAGCAGCCGCGGUAAUAC
rnacentral:rRNA from 1 species